UACGGAAGGGGCAAGCGUUGUCCGGAAUCAUUGGGCGUAAAGCGCGUGUAGGCGGUCCGGUAAGUCCGCUGUGAAAGUCGGGGGCUCAACCCUCGAAAGCCGGUGGAUACUGUCGGGCUAGAGUGCGGAAGAGGCGAGUGGAAUUCCUGGUGUAGCGGUGAAAUGCGCAGAUAUCAGGAGGAACACCAAUUGCGAAGGCAGCUCGCUGGGACGUUACUGACGCUGAGACGCGAAAGCGUGGGGAGCAAACAGG
rnacentral:rRNA from 1 species